rnacentral:antisense_RNA from 1 species
AGACCUGAGAUAUUGGGAGUAGGGGUUGCUCUGCUUGUGUAAGUCCCAGAGUGUGAAUGCCAGAGAACCAAGAGCUCCAAUGUCCCAACUCAAGAAGAGAGAAAACUUUUGUGGAUAGCUAAGUUACUGCUGGCCAUCUGAUUGCAGCAAUGGCUUCUGGGAGCAUCACGACCUGUGCAAACUCACCAGCAUCAUAACAGGAAGGUCCCAUGAUCAUGAGCACAUUGCCUUCAGCAUCUAGCACUGAAUAUGGUGAAUUGCACUCUGAAGAGCUUCCUAAGCUCAUAACAAAGUGAUUCUGAAAAGCUCAACAUUUUGGUCGAAUGGAGAGAUUUGACAUUGCUUCUGCUCCAAAAGGAACAGAGUUGGGAAGGGCAGCCUGGGAGUUGAGAAUAUCCACCACAGAGAGCUAAGUUCCUACUUGGCAGUUUGCCACAGCAAUCACCCCCUCGUGCUCCAUCACUACCUUUCCACUCCAUCUCCCACCCUUACACCAGGCUUGUGAUUCAAAGGCCUUCAGGCCAGGGGCAACAAACUAUGGCCUGUGGGCCAAAUCUAACCCACUGCCUGUUUUCCAAAUAAAGUUCCACUGGAACACAGGCAUA